UUAACCUGGUUGAUCCUGCCAGUAGUCAUAUGCUUGUCUCAAAGAUUAAGCCAUGCAUGUGUCAGUACAGGCCGUUUUAAGGCAAAACCGCGAAUGGCUCAUUAAAUCAGUUAUGAUUCAUUUGAUGGAAAGCUAUUACUCGGAUAACCCUGGUAAUUCUAGAGCUAAUACGUGAAUUUUGUAACUCCGACUGGAAGGGAGGAGUGCUUUUAUUAGUUUUUAAGCUUUGCGGUCUUCGGUCCGUGUUUUUUAUUGUGAUGACUCUGAAUAACUUUGUGCAGAGAGCAUGGUCUAUGCGCCGGCUCCAUAUCUUUCGAGUUUCUGCCUUAUCAUGCUGUGGAUUGUAGGUCAUGCGCCUACAGUGGCUGUUACGGGUAACGGAGAAUCAGGGUUCGAUUCCGGAGAGGGAGCCUGAGAAACGGCUACCACAUCCAAGGAAGGCAGCAGGCACGCAAAUUACCCAAUCCUAGUUGUGGGAGGUAGUGACGAAAAAUAACAAUGCGGGACUCUUUUGAGUCUGCGUAAUUGGAAUGAGCACACUUUAAAUCCUUUAGCAACAAGCAAUUGGAGGGCAAGUCUGGUGCCAGCAGCCGCGGUAAUUCCAGCUCCAAUAGCGUAUAUUAAAGUUGUUGCRGUUAAAAAGCUCGUAGUUGGAAGUGAGUUGCGGACUGACGUGUCAGGUCACCGCCCGGUGCUUGGGCGUCAGUUUCCGAACAGCUUCCUUGUUUGGAAGCCAAGCCGGUUGUUGUAGGGUGCUCUUGACCGAGUGUGCUGCAGAACCGGCCAGUUGACCUUGAAUAAAUGAGAGUGCUCAAAGCAGGCUACUCUAUAAUGUAAUGCCCGAAUGUUAGCUGCAUGGAAUGAUGGAAGAUGAUCUCGGUUCUAUUUUGUUGGCUUAGGGAGCCAGAGGUAAUGAUAAAGAGAGACUGUCGGGGGCAUCCGUACUACGACGCGAGAGGUGAAAUUCAGUGACCGUCGUAGGACGAACAACAGCGAAAGCAUUUGCCAAGAAUGUCUUCGUUGAUCAAGAACGAAAGUUAGAGGAUCGAAGGCGAUCAGAUACCGCCCUAGUUCUAACCCUAAACGAUGCUAACUAGCAAUUCGCCUAUGUUAUUCCCAUGACGUGGCGAGACGCCCCCGGGAAACCUCAAGUGUUUGAGUUCCGGGGGUAGUAUGGUUGCAAAAUUGAAACUUAAAGGAAUUGACGGAAGGGCACCACCAGGAGUGGAGCCUGCGGCUUAAUUUGACUCAACACGGGGAACCUGACCAGGCCCGGACACCAGAAGGAUUGACAGAUUAAGAGCUCUUUCUCGAUUUGGUGGGUGGUGGUGCAUGGCCGUUCUUAGUUGGUGGAGUGAUUUGUCUGGUUAAUUCCGGUAACGAACGAGACUCUGGCCUAUUAAAUAGUGAGCGUGGGUUUUGGUGCAUGGGCCCCGUUCGAAAUAGUCUUCUUAGAGGGAUGAGCAGCGAGUAUAGCUGCAGGAGAUUGAGCAAUAACAGGUCUGUGAUGCCCUUAGAUGUGCUGGGCCGCACGCGCGCUACACUGAAUGCGUUAGCAGGUUGUCCUUUUCCGAGAGGAGUGGGAAAUCGGUUGAAAAGCAUUCGUGAUAGGGAUUGGGGCUUGCAAUUGUUUCCCAUGAACGAGGAAUUCCCAGUAAGCGCAAGUCAUCAGCUUGCGUUGAUUAAGUCCCUGCCCUUUGUACACACCGCCCGUCGCUACUACCGAUUGAAUGAUUUAGUGAGGGUUUCGGACUGGCGGUCUUGGAGUGAGUUGGUGGCUUUGUUCCAGCAAUGGACUUCCGCCGACUGGCCUAGACGUGCCGGAAAGAUAUCCAAACUUGAUCAUUUAGAGGAAGUAAAAGUCGUAACAAGGUUUCCGUAGGUGACCUGGCGGAAGGAUCAAG
rnacentral:rRNA from 1 species